UAGUUUGAUCAGUGGCUCGAGGACGAACGCUGGCGGCGUGCUUAACACAUGCAAGUCGAGCGAUGAGGCACCUUCGGGUGUGAAUUAGCGGCGAACGGGUGAGGAACACGUGAGAAAUCUGCCUUCAACACUGGGAUAACUCCGGGAAACCGGGGCUAAUACCAAAUAGUCCCCGCAAGGGGUAAAGAUUUAUCGCUUCAAGAAGGGUCGACGCACUAUCAGCUAGUUGGUGAGGUAAUGGCUCACCAAGGCUAUGACGGUUAGGAGGCUCGAGAGGGUAUUCUCCCACAUUGGCACUGAGACACUGGCCAAACUCCUACGGGAGGCUGCAGUCGAGAAUCUUCGUCAAUGCACGCAAGUGUGAACGAGCGACGCCGCGUGAAUGAUGACCGCCCUUCGGGGUGUAAAGUUCUUUUAUUAGGGACAAACUUUGAUGGUACCUAGUGAAUAAGAGGUUGCUAACUCUGUG
rnacentral:rRNA from 1 species